rfam:Triticum urartu cultivar G1812 contig399551, whole genome shotgun sequence.
UUUCUACUCCCUCCGUUCGAAAAUAUUUUUCAUUAAAAUUGAUAAAAAGAGAUGUAUCUAAAACUAAAAUACGUCUAGAUACAUUUCCUUUUAUCCAUUUUGAUACCAAGUAUUUCCGGACGGAGGGAGUAUUUG